UCAUGACUUACGCGAGUGUGGUGUUC
rnacentral:piRNA from 1 species